GCGACAACGCCUCGUGGUAAUAACUCUUAAGCGGCAUAACAGCGAUUUUGUGAAGCAGUUUGGUAGUCUUGAUGUCGGUGACGGUAGGGUUUCCGCUACAAUCACCAACGCAACGACAAACCAGUUACAAAUAUUGUUAAGUUCUUGUUGUAUACGCAUACAUACAUCUGUAUACGUUGUUAGCAGCUUCUACUGCCGAUCCAUCAACAUUUCAAGGAUAAAUGAUGCAGACCGUGGAGCAACUUUUUUUCAUUGUACUUUGGGUCACGUGAUAUUUUAUGUACUAAUUUUUGUAAAGAAAAAUUAAAAUACAUUUUUUUAUAAGCUUUAAGUACCAAUAAACAUUGCAUAAAAUUUCUUUAUAUUUA